UCCUUUUAUUGUUCGUCUCACUCUCUCUUGCAAUCUUUCCUCUCUCUCUCUCUCUCUCUCUCUCCCCUUUAUCGGCUUGCUGAGGUUUGCCGUCACCUCGGCCAGAAGCUCCCCACUUCUCGGUGUUGAAUCUAGCAAUUCUUGUAGAUUACAACUUGGAAAAGGAAAGCAUCGAGAUGUCUCUUGAGUAUGGAAGUGCUUUGUGGUAAGGCUUUUGAGUUUUAGAUUUGAUAACAUAGUUUAACAGGGUAGGGGACCAUAGUUGUGUCUCUCAUGCCCCAAGUAUCCCAUCAAUAUUAUCUCACUUUCAGCUUUCUUGUAUUGCCUUCCCCGUCAAAUUUUGGAGUUUAGUGGAAUCCAGUUUGAUCAACUAGUAAUUGAGACUCAAGAAAGUGUACAGUCUCAAGUUUAACUAUGUCAGGCUGAAAUAUUGGGGAGAAAGCAUGAGAGAAAAUUAGGGCUUACGGAACGUAAAGUAGAGGUGACAAAUCCAAGGGCAAGGUGAGAGAAAGGGAGUUCAAGGGCGGGUUGAGAGGGAACCACCAUACCGACGGGGAAGGGGAACUCUACCGACAGUAAUGGGGAAGGGGAAAUGGAAGGGGAAAGAGAGAUCAGAGAAGUGGAUGGCUUGUUGCUAUGGGGGAAUAGAGCAGGCGGGAUUUGGUUGGUUUUGACUAGGGUUAGGAUUCAGAAGACUUGGAGAAGAGAAGAGGAGACUUGGAGAAGAGAAAAUGAUUCGCUUUUUUUGCUUCUUUCCAUUCCUCCUGCCAGUAGCAUUCAUUUCUGUACGCACCGUUUUACUUUUUACACGGCAGCUAGCUGGGUUUCUUGCGCAAAGGGUGCCUGGUUUUAAAUUUUUCCAUUAUGUAAAGUUUGACACUUCUAUGAUUUUAUCACUAUUGGAUUAUCUUUCAUCGCAUAAUAGUUAAAGAAAAAUGGAAUGAGUGUAAUUUAUAGAAUUUUCAUUUCUAUUUUUUCUUUCUCUUUCUGGUAGAAAAUAAUAGAUAUUUGAUGUUUGGGA